rnacentral:sRNA from 1 species
UGUUUGGUCAACUGUUGUCCUCGCGUU